rnacentral:rRNA from 1 species
CAGUCGCCACGGGAAUACGUAGGUGGCAAGCGUUGUCCGGAAUUAUUGGGCGUAAAGGGCUCGCAGGCGGCUUCUUAAGUCUGAUGUGAAAGCCCCCGGCUCAACCGGGGAGGGUCAUUGGAAACUGGGAAACUUGAGUGCAGAAGAGGAGAGUGGAAUUCCACGUGUAGCGGUGAAAUGCGUAGAGAUGUGGAGGAACACCAGUGGCGAAGGCGACUCUCUGGUCUGUAACUGACGCUGAGGAGCGAAAGCGUGGGGAGCGAACAGGAUUAGAUACCCCAGUAGUCCCUGUCUCUUAUAC